ACCUCACUUUGUUAUGAAGUAUAAUUUCGAGUUUCAAGAGAUUUUGGAGGACUCGAAAGGAAAACAUUUGUACUGACUAAGUUUUUGAAAAUUGUUUCCCCGAUUAUUGUCUUCUUGUUAAUGACAUCAUUAAAUGUAUUUCAUAAAACAACACGGUUUUCUAAUCUAUAUUAAAAGUGCUGUGUGUCUGUUGGUUUGGAAGUGGUGCAGUGGUGUUGAGUUGAGGUUUGUACGUUACUUUUUGACCUUUUUAUCUUUUUAAAUUUUUCUAAAAAUUUUCGACGGGCUAACGACUAUUAUAUAUUAUAUUACCAGACUUUCCAUCCUGACACGUUAUAACAAUAAUAAUCUUUGAGGUAAAGUAAGGCAAGAACAGCUUAAAUCUUCUAUUUGGUUUUUAAAGUUCUGUCUACUUCUUUCUUGUUUUUUUAUUUAUAUUUAAAAGUUUGUUCGGCUUUACCACCUUUUUUGGCUACGUAGGACCCUGUUGAUAACAGCUUAUAUUAUUUAAGCUGAAAUGGAAGUCCUGUGUAAAUAUUUUUAAGGAUUAGUCUGCAUCGUUAUAAUAAUAAGAAAACCUGCGCACACAAUUAUUAAUCUAUUAUGUUUAGUUACUGUAAUGUUACUUUGGUAAAUGGUGAGAGCUAUCUAUAAAAAACAACGUUGAACACGAACCACUGAAUUGUUUAAUUUCUUUGGAUGAUUCAAACCCUAUUUGCGAAAUGCUGCUAGGUAGACACGAGUGCAAUGUGAACUUGAAACAUCUGCCAGUUCAUUAGCAGUAUGGUCAAACGAUUUUAGAAAUAUCAGCACAUGCCAAACAGGUUUUUUAACGAACUCCAUAUCAACAUGAAGCCAAUAAUCAUCGUUGUAUUUAAGCAUUGCAUUUUAAUAUUAACAAAUUCGACCAGAUGAAAGUUAGGUCAUGAUGGUACAGCUACUAUGUUGUAACUAGUGAGAUAGCUUCCGUCUUAUAUAUAUGUUAAAUGCUUAAUUUAUGUUUGAGAGAAUUUAUUUCACUUGUGAACUUAUUGCUACAUGUGCCGUGUGACGCAAAGUCUCGGCUAGUCAUUUCUCAUUUGUUAUUGCAGAUGAAAAAAUGAAUUUAAAGAGCUCUUUCGCCAAACUGUUCAUGCCUAGAGAUGCAACACCAUUACCUUGGAAAAUGCUUUCUGCAAUGCUAUUUGUUAUGAUACUCCGAACGAUAAAUAUGACAAUGAUCUUUGCAUUCCUACCCAAAUUGGUGAAGGCAAGUUUAUUUAGAGUCUAUACUAUGAUACUCAACGUUCAGUGUGUGAGCCAACAUGGGAGCUGCAAGUAGCGGUGUGUGAAUUCAUGUAGAUUUUUUUCUAUAGUAAUUGAAUAAAAUCCGACUGAUAAUAUAAGAUACUACGUAUCUUGUUCUCUUCUCUGAAAUAAAUUGUUUUUCGCAAACGAAAACUUUUCCACAUAAAUAACUUUCUUACUCAGGAACAAGUUUAUAAAGUUUAGCGAAUUUAUUCUUUUCGGUAUGCAAUAGAUUCGUAAGUGUGAAAGUCAACAACAAUGUUAAGGUCACAAAACCGCAAGCUGUAAUAAUAAAACGUGUUUUUAAAGACUCUGCAGAGAAACAAAUUUUUCCUGGUUACAAGAAAUGGACCAUUGUCGUCUCUAAAUCUCUUUGAGAUUAAAAUCUGGAAAAUAGCUCUAUACCCGCCUGGUCGUGAAAAUACCCCACUAUAUGGGACCCCUCCUUUGUAGCAACUUUUAUGGUGGAUUAGAAAAACUUACACUGACAUGAAAUAGAAAUGAAAUGCUAAGGAGUUAGGAGUACAUUUACAUUUGCGUCUAAAGUAGCUUUUAUACAAAAGAAUUUGAUGAAAUACUCCCGUUUCGAAAUCCAAUGAUUAUACAAAAAAUGUUCUGUAAUACUUUAUUUGAUGGGAGGUUAUUGUGUAAUUGUAUACUUAUUUAUUUGUUUACAUAACGUGAAUUGAGAAAAUAUGAACUUACAGAUUAAUAAAGAUAAAAAUAAUUAUUUGAAGAAAUGUAUAGUGUGUCAGAAACAGAAAGACAGUAAUAGUUGAUAGAAAGUUAAUCAGUACUGAAAAUGGCAGAAAAAAAAUUAUUGAAGCAAGUAGAAAUGAAUGACGAUGAAUGAGAGGGAGUAAUAGAACGGUCGUUAUCAACACCAUGCCUGCUACACGAACUAUCUGAAAACAAAGAGUCGUGUAUUAGAACGCGAGACAGUAGAAGAUAGUGAAAAUCAAGAAGCAUUAGACAAGGAAAUUAUUGCAACAUCAAUGUACUGACAAGAUGUUUGUCUUUGGAUAAAUUAGGAAACGUCUGCGCAACUGACAUCAUGUACCACAAAGAUUUAUACUUGUUUAGAUUUACACUUGUUAUAUUUUCGUAGUGAAAGAUAUUACAGAACAGCCAAGGUUUGUGCUAUAGCGUAGAAGUUAAAAACGUUAAGAAUGAACUUACCAAUAUCACACCGCUACUCUUUGCGUACGACAAAGUAAAUUACAAAAGAUGUGUCCGUUUGUGCUGCGAGGAUUGUCUUUUCAUCCUAACAGCAUAUCAUGUAUUGCAUAAAGCAUUCUGGGAUGGUGAUUUUGUGGUUUCCCGAACGACGAGGAAAGGCAUUCCAAUGGAUAUGGAAUUAAAAAACAGUAUAAUAAACCAGCAAAGAGUCAAUCUAAGAUAAAUGGCUUUUCUAAAAGGUCAGAAGCUGUUUGCAAAUGAUCAAAUUAAACACGAGAAGGCUUAAUUCACAGAUUUUCUGUAUGGCUACAUAAGCAAACUCCAUUAAAAUGACGAAACCUCCACUUGUUUCCAGUUUCCAGCAUCUUUCACUAAACGGGAACAAUGUAUCGAAUAUCGUUGCACUUUUUAUUGGAACACUUUGAAAUAGGAGAUGAAGGAUAUCAGAGAUUUGAAGAAUUGCGGUUAGUACAGAAGACAACACAAUUUUUUAGCACAAUCCAAAAGUUGAAGCUAAAAACUACGACGGUAUGUAACAAUUAACAAUGACAAAAAAGAAACACUGACAAUAAUGAGAACAUGAUAUUCAGUACCUAAUGGAGAGUUAUGCGCGAGAUUCCUUAUUACCUAUUUAAGGAUGAAUUUGCUAGGAAAAAAGUCUGAAAUACCGCAGGAAAGUAUAUUAUGACAAGCUGCACGAUUUUAUCAAAUAGCAUCGUAGAAGAGUAUUUGCUUCUCAAAUGUAGGCAUAAAGGGGCCGACGAUAGAGUGAAAUUCCAUCUCAAUCAUGAUCUCAUGAUUAACUAUACCAAAGUGAUAGUUACCUUUUUUGACAAAGAUGGUUCCCAAGUUUGGUUCAUCACUUUAAUAUAUGGAAGUACUGAAGUUCGCUUUAAUUAUAGGGUAUCAUGGGGAAAUCAGGAAGAAAAGACUCCAAUUUAUGAAAUCUUCAGCCAAAUGGAUGAUGAUAACGUCAUGAAAGAUUCCGGUAAUGACCAACCCUUAAAAUACCAGAAUUUUUGAUAGUGGCUAUUAUGCUGGUGUCAUUGCAUCUUCUAUGGGAAUUGGACAAACAAUCUUCAGUUUGAUGUGGGGGUACAUUGCAUAUGUUAAAGGAAAGAAACCAACCCUCAUCGCUUCAACUUUGAUUAUGUUAACCACUUUAGCAUUUGGAUUUACUAGUAACUUUGAUUGGGCUGUUACUACGCGAUUUAUCCAAGGAUCAUCGUUAGGUAUUGUUUUAAUCUCUAAAUCAAUAAUUCCAGAUGUUUGUGACGAUACAAAUAUGGCGUUUGCCAUGACAAUCUUACUUUCGACAGUUUCGGUUGGCUUCAUCAUCGGACCAAGUGUAGCAGGUUUUUUGGCAUUCCCUGCUGAACAAUAUCCAGAUAUUUUUCCUCAAGAUUCUGUUUUUGGAAUAUUUGGUAUUCUUCUCCCAACUUUAGUUCUUGCUGUGGGUUUUGCAAUUGGCAUCAUUCUUCUUGUGUUAUUUAUUCCAAAUGAAUCCAGGAAAAAAAAUGAAAAAACACCAUUACUCGAAUCGUCAACUGAGAGCCAAAGGAAUUUAUUGCCAGUUCAAAUGAAGUCGCAAAAACGCAAAGCUCACUUAUGACACCUAAAUUACAAACAAAAGAUAUGGCUCAACAACGUGGUGGGGAGACAUGGUUAGAGAAGAUAAAAACAUAUAAGCUAAUAAAAUUAUUUUGCUUAAAAAAUUACGCACAAGUCAAUUUGGUAUACUUUGUUAUUGGACUCAUCGCAUUUGGAAAUAAUGAAUUGCUUCCACUGUUUGUGGCUAGUAUCAUGGUAUGGGCUUCUCCACGUCAAAAAUUGGACUAACACUUCUCAUGGUGUCGGUGUGCUUCCUUCCAACGCAGUUGUUAAUUGUACCAAGAAUUAUAAGACGUUACGGAUCGAGAAAGGCCCUUAUUGGAUGUUAUCUUUUGUUAGCAUUCACAUGUCCAUGGACACCUAUUUUGGUUAAUAUUUUUUCAAACAGGUAUGUGAUACAUAACAAGCCACUUUCGAAGCUUUUUUUACAUUUUAUUUUUCUUCGCCAUCCACUACUCAGAUGGUGGUAUUUAGUUUGACUACUUUAUCAUUUUAUGAUAUCGUUGAAAUCAAGGAACAAAGCGCGUUUCGAUAGGUGGUUAUGAUAUUCAAGUUCUAAAUUUAUAUGGUAUGACGAAUAAAUUAUGCCAGAAAUAAAAUAACGCAUGAUUGAUUUUUAAUAGUAAUUCAUUCGUUGAUUUAGUUAGUAGAUUUGUCUGCGCCAAAAAAAAUGUAUUUACAUGUUGAAGAAGGAAAAAAUAGUUGACUACCUUUGCUUAUUGACCUCCCCCAGGACUCCCCCAAACAAUUGACACUUCUAAUUUAUUGAAUUUGUAAACAAUAAAAAAACUAAAUAAAAAUACAAUAAGCAUAAUAUUGCAGUUGUGUCUCUUUUU